GGCGUCCAGUGCGGGCAUAUGCUUUCUUAAGUCUGAUGUGAGAGCCCUUGGCUCAUCCGAGGCAGGGUCUUUGGAAACUGGCAGACUUGUGUGCACGAAGAUGAAAGCGGAUUUCCAUGUGUAGCGGUGAUAUGCGUAGAUUUCUGCAGGAACACCAGUGUCGAAGGCUACUUUAUGGUCUGUCACUGAUAAUGAGGCGCGAAAGCGUGGGGAGCAAACAGGAUUAGAUACCCUGGUAGUCCACGCCGUACACGAUGAGUGCUAAGUGUUAGAGGGUUUCCGCCCUUUAGUGCUGAAGUUAACGCAUUAAGCACUCCGCCUGGGGAGUACGGCCGCAAGGCUGAAACUCACAGGAAUUGACGGGGGCCCCGCACAAGCGGAUGGAGCAUGUGGUUUAAUUCGAAGCAACGCGAAGAACCUUACCAGGUCUUGACAUCCUCUGACAACCCUAGAGAUAGGGCUUCUCCUUCGGGAGCAGAGUGACAGGUGGUGCAUGGUUGUCGUCAGCUCGUGUCGUGAGAUGUGUUAUAAGUCCCGCAACGAGCGCAACCCUUGAUCUUAGUGCCCAUCAUUAAGUUGGCCACUCUAAGGUGACUGCCGAUGACAACCGGAGGAAGGUGGGGAUGACGUCAAAUCAUCAUGCCCUUAUGACCGGGGUACAACGUUUUCAUGGAGGACAAGAGUGCAGACCGGAGGGGACCUAUUCAUAAACGUUUUCAUUCGAUUAAGAUGCCUCCCUCCUGAGUGAAUGUAGAUCGGGACACUCCGUAAAAACUUCGGAAAAA
rnacentral:rRNA from 1 species